CCUACGGGGCGCAGCAGUGAGGAAUAUUGGUCAAUGGGCGCGAGUCUGAACCAGCCAAGUAGCGUGAAGGAUGACUGCCCUAUGGGUUGUAAACUUCUUUUAUACAGGAAUAAAGUGAGGCACGUGUGCCUUUUUGUAAGUAUUUUAUGAAUAAGGAUCGGCUAACUCCGUGCCAGCAGCCGCGGUAAUACGGAGGAUUCGAGCGUUAUCCGGAUUUAUUGGGUUUAAAGGGAGCGUAGGUGGUCUGAUAAGUCAGUGGUGAAAGUUCGCGGCUCAACCGUAAAAUUGCAAUUGAUACUGGCAGUCUAGAGAACAGUUGAGGUAGGCGGAAUGCGUGGUGUAGCGGUGAAAUGCUUAGAGAUCACGAAGAACUCCGAUUGCGAAGGCAGCUUACUAAGCUGCCACUGACAUUGAGGCACGAAAGUGUGGGGAUCAAACAGGAUUAGAUACCCCAGUAGUC
rnacentral:rRNA from 1 species